CAUUUCUUGGAAUGUUUAAUUUAACACUUGAGUAGAAAAAUAGAAUAACUUUAGCACAGGCCCUGAACUUCUUGGUUUAAAAAUAAAUUGAAAAAAUAAAAAUUAAAUGCAGUUUUUGAAUGAAGUAGUUGUCAUCCAAACAGUGAGGCAUUUUGUCUCAGAAGAAGAUAAAUAAUCUAAAAAAAAUCAAAAAGAAUAUUUUCAGAAGAUAGGUGCAAAACCCGAGAAGACAAGGAAAAUCCAAUAUGCCCUGUACUGUUGGAAAUUGACUCAGUGAAUUCAGUACUAAUUUCAGCUCCUUUGUAACUUAACCAGAUAUUAAAGUCACCAUAACUGCGUCAGUUAGGCUGGUCAUUUAGGCGUCAUAAAGUCGUCGUAAAGUUGUCUGAAGUCGGCACUUGCACCCUUUGGAAGAGCAAUAAAUGUAUCAUUCGCAUCUUCAGAGAAGUGGUAGGAGUGAGGGUGAGUUCAAGGCCAAUGGGCGAUAUGAAAGAGAGCAUUGUCUAGUGAUGCAUACUUGAGCGGAGACGGAUUAUGUCACUCUCCAGCAGGAGAAAGGGAGGAAGUGUGAUCUUGAUUAACCCUUUGUUGCACGGAAAUUUUUUUUUCAUUUUUUUUAAAAAAAAAUGUUAUGGUUAAAUUUCAAUGAUAAAGAUAAGCACAAAAAACGC